AUCUUUUAUUUGAGAGAGUAGUUCUUAGGGUAAUUUGAACCGUAUCAGGACUCUUCCAUAAGUUUGAUUUGGUAAGCUUUAUCUUAUAAUGUACUUCGAUAGUUUGUGCUUUUUUUCUUGGACAACUAGAAAAAUGAAAAUUUUUCGUGGACAUGUCAUUCUUUUUUUCCCUUUUAUUUUCUUUGUCUUAUGUAAUAGGGAUGGUCAUUUUUAUUUUAUGACAAUUAUAUGUAGUUCAAGACUCCAAACUAUAAAAAAGUUUUCCCUUUCUCUUUUCUCUAAAAAUUCUCUAAAAAUUUUCAAAGAUGAGAGAAGCGUUUUCUUUUGCCGACCAGAGUUCUUCUAGUUUUGUUAUCCCGAUUUAGUUGGCUUUUUGUCCAUUAUCUCCGGCUUCCGCAGUCGUGAUGGCUGGUCCUAUGUCUAGCAUCAUUGGCUUCUAU
rnacentral:sRNA from 1 species